GUGCCAGCAGCCGCGGUAAGACAGAGGGUGCGAACGUUGCUCGGAAUUACUGGGCGUAAAGCGCGUGUAGGCGGGUGAUCAAGUCAGAUGUGAAAUCCCUGGGCUCAACCCAGGAACUGCAUUUGAAACUGGUCGCCUUGAGUGUUGGAGAGGGAAGCGGAAUUCCUGGUGUAGAGGUGAAAUUCGUAGAUAUCAGGAGGAACACCGGUGGCGAAGGCGGCUUCCUGGACAACUACUGACGCUGAGACGCGAAAGCGUGGGGAGCAAACAGGAUUAGAUACCCCGGUAGUCC
rnacentral:rRNA from 1 species